rnacentral:sRNA from 1 species
UCGGCCGAGAAUGGCCGUCUUCGGGAGAAU